GAAGGCAUAGUUAGCAAAGGUCACUAUUAUAACAUUAUCUUUCACCCUUUUCUGAAUCAAUUCUUUGGUCAAUCCGAAAGCCUCCAAAGGUGGCAUCUCUUUAUUGCGUGGAGGAACAUCCAAAAUAGGUCUUGUCCUCACAUCUCGUGCCUCAGGAGGAACAGAAGGCACAUCAACUGUUGCAAACCGAGAACCGUUGAGCGUUUGUUCUGUAAGACGAACAUCCUCAUCUGAAAAACAUGAACAGUUCAAGGUUUGAAUUUGAAAUCACACCCACAUGUGAUUUAACAAAGGGUCAAAAGGGAAAACACAAAAGAAGCUCAAUGUAUUGAAAAGUGCCACAUACAAAAGGCACCCUUAACAAAUAACAGGGCAUUAAAGGACACAAAAGUGGAACCAAUGUCAAUUGCUCAAACAUUAUCUAUCUCCAACUAAGGAAGGUUAACAACACAUUUAAAUUUGACAAAAGGGUAUGUCAC
rnacentral:lncRNA from 1 species